rnacentral:rRNA from 1 species
UACGAAGGGGGCUAGCGUUGUUCGGAAUUACUGGGCGUAAAGGGCGCGUAGGCGGUGUGUCAAGUCAGGCGUGAAAGCCCCGGGCUCAACCUGGGAACCGCGCUUGAGACUGGCACGCUCGAGUUCGGGAGAGGAUGGUGGAAUUCCCGAGUGUAGAGGUGAAAUUCGUAGAUAUUGGGAAGAACACCGGAUGGCGAAGGCAGCCAGUCUGGACCGACACUGACGCGAA